rnacentral:rRNA from 1 species
UACGUAGGGUGCGAGCGUUAAUCGGAAUUACUGGGCGUAAAGCGUGCGCAGGCGGUUUUGUAAGCCAGAUGUGAAAUCCCCGGGCUUAACCUGGGAAUGGCAUUUGGGACUGCAAGGCUUGAGUGCGGCAGAGGAGACUGGAAUUCCCGGUGUAGCAGUGAGAUGCGUAGAUAUCGGGAGGAAUACCGAUGGCGAAGGCAGGUCUCUGGGCUGACACUGACGCUCAUGCACGAAAGCGUGGGGAGCAAACAGG